rnacentral:rRNA from 1 species
UACGGGGGGUGCGAGCGUUGUUCGGAAUCAUUGGGCGUAAAGAGCGCGCAGGCGGCUUGGUGAGUCAGAUGUGAAAGCCCUGGGCUUAACCCAGGAAGUGCAUUUGAUACUGCCUCGCUAGAGUACGGGAGAGGAAAGUGGAAUUCCUGGUGUAGAGGUGAAAUUCGUAGAUAUCAGGAGGAACACCGGUGGCGAAGGCGACUUUCUGGCCCGAUACUGACGCUCAGGCGCGAAAGCGUGGGGAGCAAAC